rnacentral:rRNA from 1 species
GACGAACGCUGGCGGCGUGCCUAAUACAUGCAAGUCGAGCGAAUGGAUUAAGAGCUUGCUCUUAUGAAGUUAGCGGCGGACGGGUGAGUAACACGUGGGUAACCUGCCCAUAAGACUGGGAUAACUCCGGGAAACCGGGGCUAAUACCGGAUAACAUUUUGAACCGCAUGGUUCGAAAUUGAAAGGCGGCUUCGGCUGUCACUUAUGGAUGGACCCGCGUCGCAUUAGCUAGUUGGUGAGGUAACGGCUCACCAAGGCAACGAUGCGUAGCCGACCUGAGAGGGUGAUCGGCCACACUGGGACUGAGACACGGCCCAGACUCCUACGGGAGGCAGCAGUAGGGAAUCUUCCGCAACGGACGAAAGUCUGACGGAGCAACGCCGCGUGAGUGAUGAAGGCUUUCGGGUCGUAAAACUCUGUUGUUAGGGAAGAACAAGUGCUAGUUGAAUAAGCUGGCACCUUGACGGUACCUAACCAGAAAGCCACGGCUAACUACGUGCCAGCAGCCGCCGUGU